rnacentral:rRNA from 1 species
UACGAGUGCCCCGAGCGUUAUCCGGAAUCAUUGGGCGUAAAGCGUGUGUAGGCGGUCAUGUUAGUCUCCUGUAAAAUUCUUCGGCUUAACCGGGGGCGCGCGGGGGAAACGGCAUGACUUGAGGAUGCGAGAGGUGAGUGGAACUCUAGGUGUAGGGGUGAAAUCCGUUGAUAUCUAGGGGAACACCGAAUGCGAAGGCAGCUCACUGGCGCACUCCUGACGCUGAGACACUAAAGCGUGGGUAGCGAAUGGG